rnacentral:rRNA from 1 species
AGAGUUUGAUCCUGGCUCAGAACGAACGCUGGCGGCGCGUUUUAAGCAUGCAAGUCGAGCGGCAAGGGUACUUCGGUACUCCUAGAGCGGCGGACGGGUGAGUAACACGUGGAUAACCUGCCCCCGGGUGCGGGAUAGCCCAGGGAAACCUGGAUUAAUACCUCGUAAGACCACGCUCUGUAGGGAGAGUGGGAAAAGGCGCUUCGGCGUCGCCUGGGGAUGGGUCCGCGUCCCAUUAGCUAGAUGGUAGGGUAAAGGCUUACCAAGGCGAUGAUGGGUAUCCGGCCUGAGAGGGUGAUCGGACACAUUGGGACUGAGAUACGGCCCAGACUCCUACGGGAGGCAGCAGCUAAGAAUAUUCCACAAUGGACGAAAGUCUGAUGGAGCGACGCCGCGUGGAUGAUGAAGGCCGAAAGGUUGUAAAAUCCUUUUACACUGGAGGAAUAAGCAGAGUAGGGAAUGACUCUGUGAUGACUGUACAGUUUGAAUAAGCAACGGCUAAUUACGUGCCAGCAGCCGCGGUAACACGUAAGUUGCGAGCGUUGUUCGGAAUUAUUGGGCGUAAAGGGCAUGUAGGCGGAUUUGCAAGCUUGAUGUGAAAUCCCGCAGCUUAACUGCGGAACUGCAUUGAGAACUGCAAGACUAGAGUUACUGAGGGGAAACUAGAAUUCCAAGUGUAGGGGUGAAAUCUGUAGAUAUAAGGAAGAAUACCAAUGGCGGAGGCAAGUUUCUGGCAGAUAACUGACGCUGAGGUGCGAAGGUGCGGGGAGCAAAGCAGGAUUAGAUACCCUGAUAGUCCGCACAGUAAACGAUGUACACUAGGCGUUUGGUCAUGAGGUGGAGUGCCAUAGCUAACGCAUCAAGUGUACCGCCUGGGAAGUAUGCCCGCAAGGGAGUAACUCACAGGAAUAGACGGGGGCCCGCACAAGCGGUGGAGCAUGCGGCUUAAUUCGAUGGUACGCGAGGAACCUUACUUGGGUGUGACAUAUACUGGAAUGUUAUAGAGAUAUAGCAGCGUAGCAAUACGCCGGUAUACAGGUGCUGCACGGCUGUCGUCAGCUCGUGCCGUGAGGUGUUGGGUUAAGUCCCGCAACGAGCGCAACCCCUACUGUCAGUUGCUAACAGAUAAUGCUGAGGACUCUGGUGGAACUGCCGGUGACAAACCGGAGGAAGGUGGGGACGACGUCAAGUCAUCAUGGCCCUUAUGUCCAGGGCUACACACGCUGCUACAAUGGUAGAAACAAAGCGAUGGUACACUGCAAAGUCACGCAAAACGCAAAAAAGCUAUCGUAGUUCGGAUUGGAGUUUGAAACUCGACUCCAUGAGGUUGGAAUCGCUAGUAAUCGCGCAUCAGCACGGCGCG